rnacentral:lncRNA from 1 species
CAUUCCCCCAAACUUAAAGUUUGCAUUGCCUUAAUGCACUAAAAUUAAAAUGCAAUGACAAUAGAAAUGCAAUGACAAUGUGCACUAACAAAAUAAAAAUAACAACUACGUGCAAUGCACGAACACUAUAGCUAAAAAAAUUGAAAAUCAACUAACUCAGUUUUCCUCAGCCAUAGAUGCGGCUGCACGAUGUUUCUUCUUUCUC